UACGUAGGGACCAAGCGUUGUUCGGAAUUAUUGGGCGUAAAGGGCGCGUAGGCGGCCCGGUAAGUCAAAGGUGAAAUCCCUCGGCUCAACUGAGGAACUGCCUUUGAAACUGUCGGGCUUGAGGCCGGGAGGGGGUAGCGGAAUUCCCAGUGUAGCGGUGAAAUGCGUAGAUACUGGGAGGAACACCAGUGGCGAAGGCGGCUACCUGGACCGGUUCUGACGCUGAUGCGCGAAAGCGUGGGUAGCAAACAGG
rnacentral:rRNA from 1 species